rnacentral:lncRNA from 1 species
UAUGGUUAUCAACUUUGCAUAUAAGAUCGUUGAAUAAUGCCACUUAUUUUGGUCAUGACCAAUCUGCGAUAAACAACUAACUGGUUAUCAACUUUGCGUAUAAAAUCAUUGAAUAAUGCCACCUAUUUAAUGCCACCUAUUUUGGCCAUGGCCAAUCUGAGAUAAACAACUAACUGAUUAUCAACUUUGCAUAUAAGAUCGUUGAAUAACCCACUUGUUUUUUUUCCUUUACAGUAUAAAAGCCUGCAAAAUGCAAACUAUUUGUUCUUGCUCUUGUCUAGUUUUCUGAGCAUCUUCCGGAUAAAAAACAAACAUUAGCCCUAUUUUAAGUUUCAUUUAGAUGCAGCUAAAAUGAGCUUUUGAGAAAGUUCGCUACAUUGAUUGUUUUGUACUCCAUAUGAUUAUUAGUAUUAAUUCCAUAUUUUUAUUGUUUUAGAAGUUAUAUAUGAUACGCUGGUAUAUCAUUAUUGUCAUUUGUAGCACAAUAUAUAUUUGUUGACCUAUUAUCAUUUGUUUUAGUUUGAACAGGUUGAUAUUGCUAAUAACGCUGGCUAUGAUGAGAUUCAUGAUGUUCAUAGCUUAGUAGCAACAUCCAGAGGAUUGUCAGGGGAUUCAUUGAGUAAGCUACCGCACUAUACGAUCUUGAAAGACAUGAAGGGAGAGGAUUCAUUACUUUGUAAAGCAGUCAUCUUUUAAUACUGAGAAAUAUUUGCAUCUUAGUUUAAGUUUAUCUAUAUUUGCAUCUUAGUUUAUGUUAUUGAAUCGUUUGCAUUGUAAUUUUGUCGGCAUCAAAAUUCCGGAACUUUUUAUUAAUAUUAUUCAAUAGUUGUUAUUGGAGCUUUUUCUAUUUUACUAUGUACUGUCUCGACAUUUU